CGGCGAACGUGGGGCGAGCGGCGGGGGUAAGACGAGGUGGGCAAGGGUUGUUCGGAAGUGCUGGGCGUAAAGGGCGCGUAGGCGGCCGGUCAAGUCAGGCGUGAAAUUCCCGGGCUCAACCUGGGGGCUGCGCUUGAUACUGAUUGGCUUGAAUGCGGGAGAGGAUAGUGGAAUUCCCAGUGUAGAGGUGAAAUUCGUAGAUAUUGGGAAGAACACCGGUGGCGAAGGCGGCUAUCUGGCCCGUAAUUGACGCUGAGGCGCGAAAGCGUGGGGAGCAAACAGGAUUAGAUACCCGAGAGUC
rnacentral:rRNA from 1 species